GACGAACGCUGGCGGCGUGCUUAACACAUGCAAGUCGAACGGAAAGGCCCUGCUUGCCGGGUACUCGAGUGGCGAACGGGUGAGUAACACGUGGGUGAUCUGCCCUGCACUUCGGGAUAAGCCUGGGAAACUGGGUCUAAUACCGGAUAGGAGCCAUUUUUAGUGUGAUGGUUGGAAAGUUUGUUCGGUGUAGGAUGAGCUCGCGGCCUAUCAGCUUGUUGGUGGGGUAAUGGCCUACCAAGGCGGCGACGGGUAGCCGGCCUGCGAGGGUGGACGGCCACAUUGGGACUGAGAUACGGCCCAGACUCCUACGGGAGGCAGCAGUGGGGAAUAUUGCACAAUGGGCGCAAGCCUGAUGCAGCGACGCCGCGUGGGGGAUGACGGCCUUCGGGUUGUAAACUCCUUUCGCUAGGGACGAAGCUUUUGUGACGGUACCUAGAUAAGAAGCACCGGCUAACUACGUG
rnacentral:rRNA from 1 species